rnacentral:rRNA from 1 species
AAGAAAAGCGAUGAUCAUGUUGAAAAUCAAUUCCCGGUACCCGAAACCGACACAGGUGGGCGAGUAGAGAAUACUAAGGGGCGCGAGGUAACUCUCUCCAAGGAACUCGGCAAAAUGACCCCGUAACUUAGGGAGAAGGGGUGCCACCGAGAGGUGGUCGCAGUGAAGAGGCCCAGGCGACUGUUUAGCAAAAACAUAGGUCUCUGCAAACUCGAAAGAGGAGGUAUAGGGGCUGACGCCUGCCCAGUGCCGGAAGGUUAAAGAAGUUGGUCAGUCUUAGGAUGAAGCUAGCGACUGAAGCCCCGGUGAACGGCGGCCGUAACUAUAACGGUCCUAAGGUAGCGAAAUUCCUUGUCGGGUAAGUUCCGACCCGCACGAAAGGCGUAACGAUCUGGGCGCUGUCUCGGAGAGAGGCUCGGCGAAAUAGGAUUGUCUGUGAAGAUACGGACUACCUGCAUUUGGACAAAAGACCCUAUGAAGCUUUACUAUAGCUUGGAAUUGUGUUCGGGCUUCCUGUGCGCAGGAUAGGUGGGAGGCGUAGAAGGUAUUCUUGUGGGGAUACUGGAGCCAACGGUGAGAUACCACUCUCAGGAGGCUAGAAUUCUAACUUAAUUAAGGACAGUUUCAGGUGGGUAGUUUGACUGGGGCGGUCGCCUCCAAAAAGGUAACGGAGGCGUACAAAGGUUCCCUCAGACUGGUUGGAAAUCAGUCGAAGAGUGCAAAGGCAGAAGGGAGCUUGACUGCGAGAAGUACAGUUCGAGCAGGGUGGAAACACGGUCUUAGUGAUCCGACGGUGCUGUGUGGAAGGGCCGUCGCUCAACGGAUAAAAGUUACUCUAGGAUAACAGGCUGAUCUCCCCCAAGAGUUCACAUCGACGGGGAGGUUUGGCACCUCGAUGUCGGCUCAUCGCAACCUGGGGCGGAAGUACGUCCCAAGGGUUGGGCUGUUCGCCCAUUAAAGCGGUACGUGAGCUGGGUUCAGAACGUCGUGAGACAGUUCGGUCCAUAUCCGAUGUAGGCGUGAGAAUAUUGAGAGGAGCCUUCCUUAGUACGAGAGGACCGGGAAGGACGCACCGCUGGUGUACCUGUUAUGAUGCCAAUUGUAAACGCAGGGUAGCCAAGUGCGGAGAGGAUAACCGCUGAAAGCAUCUAAGUGGGAAGCCCCACCUCAAGAUGAGUAUUCUGGUGUAAGGUCACGGGAAGACGACCCGUAAAUAGGCACGAGGUGGAAGUGCAGAGAUGUAUGAAGCCGAAGUGUACUAAUAGACCGUCGGCUUGACC